AAAGCCGGAUUAAUACCGCAUGAGACCUGAGGGUGAAAGCGGGGGAUCGCAAGACCUCGCGCUACUGGAGCGGCCGAUGUCAGAUUAGCUAGUUGGUGGGGUAAAGGCCUACCAAGGCAACGAUCUGUAGUUGGUCUGAGAGGACGACCAGCCACACUGGGACUGAGACACGGCCCAGACUCCUACGGGAGGCAGCAGUGGGGAAUUUUGGACAAUGGGCGCAAGCCUGAUCCAGCAAUGCCGCGUGCAGGAAGAAGGCCUUCGGGUUGUAAACUGCUUUUGUCAGGGAAGAAAUCUUCUGGGUUAAUACCUCGGGAGGAUGACGGUACCUGAAGAAUAAGCACCGGCUAACUACGUGCCAGCAGCCGCGGUAAUACGUAGGGUGCGAGCGUUAAUCGGAAUUACUGGGCGUAAAGCGUGCGCAGGCGGCUUUGCAAGACAGAUGUGAAAUCCCCGGGCUCAACCUGGGAACUGCAUUUGUGACUGCAAGGCUAGAGUACGGCAGAGGGGGAUGGAAUUCCGCGUGUAGCAGUGAAAUGCGUAGAUAUGCGGAGGAACACCGAUGGCGAAGGCAAUCCCCUGGGCCUGUACUGACGCUCAUGCACGAAAGCGUG
rnacentral:rRNA from 1 species